AUGUUGGCUAAACAAUGCUGGAGACUUAUCACUGAUCCAGAGUCAUUGGUGGCAAGAGUACUAAAAGCCAAAUAUUAUCCUAAUGGGAGCCUGCUCAUUGCUACCCCAAAGAAUGGGUCAUCUUUCACAUGGCAAGGAAUUUUGAAGGGCUUGGAAACAGUUAAGAAGGGGUACAUAUGGAGAAUUGGUACAAGAGAGGAGGUCAACAUCUGGAACGACCCUUGGAUACCUUCUAGCUCAGACAUGAAGGUGAUCACACCUAGGGGCCAAACAAUCCUUUCUAAGGUUUGUGAGUUAAUUGAUCCAAAUUCUGGUACAUGGGAUGAGGAGCUGCUAGAUAUAUUCUACCCAAUGGAUGUCAGAACAAUACUACAAAUUCCUGUUAAUUUCCAAGCAUUUGAUGAUUUUAUUGCAUGGCAACCCAAUAGAACAGGACUCUUUUCUGUUCGAACAACUUAUCACUUACAAUGGAGGCACAAUUUUAGGGCACAUGCAACUGAGUUGGAGCAGCCGGGAGGGUCCACCCCUCUAGCAGUUUGGAGUACUCUUUGGAAGCUCCCUGUUCCACGUAAAAUUCAGGUGUUUUGCUGGAGAGUAUUACGAGGAAUCAUCCCACUACGAGCCAUCCUGACAAAUAGACAUGUUGGUUCUAAUGGUGCAUGCCCUAUAUGCCACCAAGGGGCGGAGUAUGUCAGUCAUCUUCUAUUUAAAUGUGCGCAUGCAAGGGAUCUUUGGGCGCGGCUGGGCAUGCUUGAGCUGAUCGAUCACUCAUUGCAUGUUGAUAGACCAGGCUCGACUAUUUUUGAGUACCUGCUAUCAUUACCGGAUAAUUACCUACAGAUACAUCCUAGUGUCAAUUUUAAGCAAGCUCUUGGCGUUGGAAGUUGGUACCUAUGGUGGGUUUGA
rnacentral:rRNA from 1 species